ACUGUAUCUUCCCUCUAAUUUAGCCAUAUAAAUUGCUAGUUGAAUUUAACGCAGUGAUGUGAUGUGUGCAGUCGAAUUUAAGCAUUUUAUAUUGUAAKCAACCUGGGAAAACSGAGCAACCACGGCGAGAGCGGCAACACUGGUAGGCGGGGCACACCCAGGAGGGGGUGGCAACAUMGGGACUACUUCACGGCUGACAGGAGACGGCGCGGCGGUACUUCCGGGCAACAACACAGAACAUCCGUGGGGUUGCCAGGGGAGAUGGAUUAUUAUUGAUUUGAUAAUGACGGUGCAAGGCGUUCAUUAAAAUUAUUGAAUUUUUCAUCGAUCGUAUUCUUCCUUAAAUUUAACCAUAACAAUAUUGAAAAGAAACUUUAUUAUUCGUCAGCAUUUCUUCAUCACUCUUCGUCCUAAAAAACAUGACAUACUGCAUGAAAUGAAGUUAAUUGACGCAAAAAUUCAAUAAUGUACAAAAACAUUAACACCUUGCACUUUAACCGACAAGUUUCAUCAGCCGUGAUACGUUGUGACAAUCAACUUUUUUGGGUCAUGGCUAAAUUAAACAGUAGAAGUUGUCAAUUUUAAAGCUGGAGCUUCUAAACUAUAAUGGAUCAGUUAAGACAUCGAUUACUUGUGAUAAUACGUGGUGAUAAAGGCAAAAAUAUAACAUCAACUUCACUACAUUGAAUUAGAAAAAAAAACUGUAAUUUUUCAUUAAAAGAACACACAAGUCGCAAAAUACUGAAUCAAUACUUUGAAGCAAAUCUUCUAUAUUCGAUAAACAAUUUAAAUUCAAUCCUCAAAUAAACACAGUGAAUUCA